CGUCAAUGGUAAACAUUGACCCCUAGUGGUAGCUGCUGGUGGUGGCGGCACGCGGUCUGGUGCUGCAAUGCGGUUGUGGCAAGGCUGGAGGAGCUGCAUUCCUUUGGAGAGGCUGAAUCUCAGCGUCGUAAACUCGAAAUCUUCAGGGCACAGAAGAGGACUUUGUUUAGCGAUGGACCGACAGAGCAGAUUUUAGACGGUGCAAUGACACGUCGAUUAAAAUAGAUUCUCGUGCUUACGAUCACCUCUUCUAGACCACCCCUCACUAGACUACCCACACAAGACGACCUCAUAACAAGACCACCGACAUCACCUUCACCAAACCGGUAAAGCAAGUGCGAUGAUAGCAACAACUGGUAAAGCCGAAGAGUUCACCGCCGCAACUGUGGAGCCGGCAAGCACUGUUCACCUGCACUGCAGAUGACCAACCGGCCGGGGUGAGGCAGCCCGUCCUCGUGGCCUCCCUCGGGUCGUCCUCUUCGCUCCCAGGGGGCCAAUCCCAGGGAGGUCCUCCGAGUCGAGGAAGAGGCGGCUAACGAUGGCCGCCUUCUCUCGAAGCCGUGCUGCGUCCAUGACCGUGCCCAUCCCCGCCGCUGCCGCCUCGGCACUGCUAUCCACCAAGGCCUUGAACCUACGCGGUGGAGAAUAGCAGAAUCGGCCCACUGAGGAAGAAUGGUCAGAGCUGAGCUGACGCGCUGUCAAAAUAAAAAAAAAUUGUAUGUGGACAGACAAACAUGGGAAGGCAACCACAUCUCAAGAUCGACGAUGACGACGAUGCUGAAGGUCACGCGGGUAAAGAUGAUGAUGAUGUUGAUAACGACGUGAAGGUGCACGCAGGACACACCUCUCGACCUCUUGGAAAAACGCAAAGUCUUCCAUGAGAAAGUUGAGGACGAUCUUCUGGUCAUUCACCGUCCUCCUCGUGAGCAGCUGCUCCGACGCUGGCGUCGUUGGGGUCCGGCUGGCGGGGGCCGAGCGGCUCUCGGUUCGAGAGGUGGUCUCACGGGGGGCCCCUCCCGCCAGCGGGGGGUGCCGGCCACCAGCACGGGGGUGAGCGCUGCGAGCGGUGGUGCCUCCUGCCCCACACACGUGAAUAACUGAACAUCACAUAGAGAAGGACUGCUCUUUGUGUUCAGUUUGUUGUUCUUCCCCCCGCACCUCCGAUUAGCACGGUUGGCUAAGUACGGUGUGCAGGUCAUGUCUGGGUCACGGUAAAAAUCAAGAUCAAUAAAUACAUCGUGGUUUCUACGUUUUUUUAAUGCACGGCACCAGCAUGGCUCGGAUAUGCCAGUGGAAAAUGGGCAUUAGACACGGGGCCUCGUGUAGCUUAGAAGCUCGCUGUACCCGUGGCGGCCCUCUCCAACGCCUCCUCUCGCCGCAACUCCGCUCCCAGGAACGCGGCGAGGUCCCGCCGGGUGCCGGGCUCUCUCAGCGCCGCCAGGAGGCCCGCCACGUUCCGCACCAGCUGGCGCAGGGCAGCGCGGGCAGCGCUCUGCACGGCGGGGGGGAGGGAGGGGGGAUUAGACAGGGGGGCACGGAGGACACGAGCACUGUGGUGAUGUGUCGAAUUGGAACCGGCAGGUCACACCGACUCGCUCACAUGGCCACACACUCGCUUCAAAUGGGAGCUUGCAGGUCAAAAGUCAACGUGCGAACUUUGAUCUGCUUCUAAUGAUGCGGGCACUGCAGUGAAACCCAUAACAUGGAGAAACUAUUGGUCUGAGCCAUACACGAUAGAGGACUUUACCAGGGCGAGAGACGGGGCCAUUUGAUGAGUUCGAUAUUUGUACUGGAUAAACCUAUGACUGUGGUGGCAGGACACAAUAAAAAGACUGGCAGUUG